AGUCACUGACAUUAGACUACCCCGGUAGUCCCAGCCGUAAACUAUGCGCGUUAGGUGUACUGGUGACCACGAGUCACCGGGGUGCCGAAGGGAAACCGUGAAACGUGCCGCCUGGGAAGUACGGUCGACAAGGCUGAAACUUAAAGGAAUUGGCGGGGAGCACCACAACGGGUGGAGCCUGCGGUUUAAUUGGACUCAACGCCGGAAAUCUCACCGGAUAGGACAGACAUAUGAUAGUCGGGCUGAAGACUCUACUUGAUGAUCUG
rnacentral:rRNA from 1 species